UACGUAGGAUGCAAGCGUUGUCCGGAUUUACUGGGCGUAAAGCGCGCGCAGGCGGCACUCUAAGUACGCUGUGAAAUAUCCCGGCUCAACCGGGAGGGUGCAGUGUAGACUAGAGAGCUUGAGGUCGGUAGAGGGGGGUAGAAUUGCUGGUGUAGCGGUGAAAUGCGUAGAGAUCAGCAGGAAUACCCGUGGCGAAGGCGGCCCCCUGGGCCGUACCUGACGCUGAGGCGCGAAGGCUAGGGGAGCAAACAGG
rnacentral:rRNA from 1 species